ensembl:lncRNA
GGGGUACCAGUACAGAGUCAAUGUGGAGACUAUAUAUAGGGUGUUACGGUACAGAGUCAAUGUGGAGACUAUAUAUAGGGUGUUACGGUACAGAGUCAAUGUGGAGGCUAUAUACAGGGGGUACCAGUACAGAGUCAAUGUGGAGACUAUAUAUAGGGUGUUACGGUACAGAGUCAAUGUGGAGGUUAUAUACAGGGGGUACCGGUACAGAGUCAAUGUGGAGGCUAUAUACAGGGGGUACCGGUACAGAGUCAAUGUGGAGGCUAUAUACAGGGGGUACCAGUACAGAGUCAAUGUGGAGGCUAUAUAUAGGGUGUUACGGUACAGUCAAUGUGGAGGCUAUAUACAGGGUAUUACGGUACAGAGUCAAUGUGGAGGCUAUAUACAGGGGGAACCGGUACAGAGUCAAUGUGGAGGCUAUAUACAGGGGGUACCGGUACAGAGUCAAUGUGGAGGCUAUAUACAGGGGGCACCGGUACAGAGUCAAUGUGCCGGGGCACCGGUUAGUUGAGGUAAUAUGUACAUAGAGUUAUUAAAGUGACAAUGCAUAGAUGAUAACAACAGAGAGUAACAGUGGUGUAAAAGAGGGGGGCAAUGCAAAUAGUCUGGGGAGCCAUUUGAUUAGUUGUUCAGGAGACUUAUGGCUUGGGGGUAGAAGCUGUUUAGGAGCCUCUUGGACCUAGACUUGGCACUCUGGUACCGCUUGCCAUGCGGUAGCAGAGAGAAAGACUAGAGUGGCUGGAGUCUGACAAUUUUUAGGGCCUUCCUCUGACGCAGCCUGGUAUAGAGGUCCUGGAUGGCAGGAAGCUUGUCCCCAGUGAUGUACUGGGCCAUACGCAUUACCCUCUGUAGUGGCUUACGGUCGGAGGCCGAGCAGUUACCAUAACAGGCAUUGAUGCAACUAGUCAGGAUGCUCUCGAUGGUGCAGCUGUAGAACCUUUUGAGGAUCUGAGGACCCAUGACAAAUAUUUUGUCUCCUGAGGGGGAAUAGGUUUUGUUUUGCCCUCUUCUCUUAUCUUGGUGUGCUUGGACCAUGUUAGUUUGUUGGUGAUGUGGACACCAAGGAACUUGAAGCUCUCAACCUGCUCCACUGCAGCCCCGGCGAUGAGAAUGGGGGCGUGCUUAGUCCUUUUUUUCCCUGUAGUCCACAAUCAUCCCCUUUGUCUUGAUCACGUUGAUGGAGAGGUUGUUGUCCUGGCACCACACGGCCAGGUCUCUGACCUACUCCCUAUAGGCUGUCUCGUCGUUGAGGGAGAGGUUGUUGUCCUGGCACCUCCCGGCCAGGUCUCUGACCUCCUCCCUAUAGGCUGUCUCGUCGUUGAGGGAGAGGUUGUUGUCCUGGCACCUCCCGGCUAGGUCUCUGAUCUCCUCCCUAUAGGCUGUCUCGUCGUUGAGGGAGAGGUUGUUGUCCUGGCACCUCACGGCCAGGUCUCUGACCUCCUCCCAAUAGGCUGUCUCAUCGUUGAGGGAGAGGUUGUUGUCCUGGCACCUCACGGCCAGGUCUCUGACCUCCUCCCUAUAGGCUGUCUCAUCUGGCACCACACGGCCAGGUCUCUGACCUCCUCCCUAUAGUCUUUCUCAUCGUUGAGGGAGAGGUUGUUGUCCUGGCACCUCACGGCCAGGUCUCUGACCUCCUCCCUAUAGGCUGUCUCGUCGUUGAGGGAGAGGUUGUUGUCCUGGCACCUCACGGCCAGGUCUCUGACCUCCUCCCUAUAGGCUGUCUCGUCGUUGUCGGUGAUCAGGCCUACGGUUCUGGUCUGGGUUGUUUUAUGGGACGCUGCAUAUUUCUGACCGGUCUCAUCAUGUCAAAGCUUUUAAACAUUUAAAAAAUUGGAGUUGUCAGCUGGUGAGCAGAGCCUGGUCCCAGAUCAGUUUGUUCUCUUGAUAACUCCAAUGCUGUCAUUGUCAAGCUAAAUGAGUGACAAGGAGUUGGCAUGACAGCACAGACAGACUGGCACUCAGUCUAGAACUCAGGCUAGCAUGAUCAUAGUUCCCUUCAACAACGAUGACAAAACUCAAUACGAAAGUAAGAUACGAUUUAUCGGCAAAUCAAUGAUUCCUGAAACACAAGAGGCAUAAAAUAUAUAAAAUAUGAACAUAAUGUCCACUCCCAAUAUAGUGCACUACGUAGGAAAUAUGGUACAAUUUGGGACACACCCAAUAAUCAAGUUCAGUCCGUGGUCAUCACCACCACCUAGCACUUCAAGUAACCAAGGCCAUAAUAACCCAAUAUUUAUUUAACCUUUAUUUAACUAGGCAAGUCAGUUAAGAACAAAUUCUUAUUUUCAAUGACGGUCUAGGAACAGUGGGUUUAACUGCCUGUUCAGGGGCAGAAUGACAGAUUUGUACCUUGUCAGCUCGGGGGUUUGAACUUGCAAUCUUCCUGUUACUAGACCAACGCUCUAACCACUAGGCUACCCUGCCACCAAGUAACCAAGGCCAUAAUAACCCCAUAUCAAGUAACCAAGGCCAUAAUAACCCGAUAUCAAGUAACCAAGGCCGUAAUAACCCGAUAUCAAGUAACCAAGGCCGUAAUAACCCGAUAUCAAGUAACCAAGGCCGUAAUAACCCGAUAUCAAGUAACCAAGGCCGUAAUAACCCGAUAUCAAGUAACCAAGGCCGUAAUAACCCGAUAUCAAGUAACCAAGGCCGUAAUAACCCGAUAUCAAGUAACCAAGGCCGUAAUAACCCGAUAUCAAGUAAUCAAGGCCAUAAUAACCCGAUAUCAGGUAAGCAUGGCCGUAAUAUGGCCUUCCCCUGGGCCUACCCAACAUGUCAGUAGCUAUUAAAAUGUCUAUGACAUCUUUUUGUCAACGUAAUACAGUAUUUCAAACAAGGAAACACAUUACAUAUCAAUAGACAGUUGCUUCAGUCCAAAGGAGGAAGAGAGUCCAGUAGUAGUCUGCAGUUCACAACCAACCAGCCAAUGGUAAGCCAGCAGCCAAUGGUAAGCCAGCAGCCAAUGGUAAGCCAGCAGCCAAUGGUAAGCCAGCAGCCAAUGGU